rnacentral:rRNA from 1 species
GAUGAACGCUGGCGGCGUGCCUAAUACAUGCAAGUCGAGCGAACAGACGAGGAGCUUGCUCCUCUGACGUUAGCGGCGGACGGGUGAGUAACACGUGGAUAACCUACCUAUAAGACUGGGAUAACUUCGGGAAACCGGAGCUAAUACCGGAUAAUAUAUUGAACAGCAUGGUUCAAUAGUGAAAGACGGUUUUGCUGUCACUUAUAGAUGGAUCCGCGCCGCAUUAGCUAGUUGGUAAGGUAACGGCUUACCAAGGCAACGAUGCGUAGCCGACCUGAGAGGGUGAUCGGCCACACUGGAACUGAGACACGGUCCAGACUCCUACGGGAGGCAGCAGUAGGGAAUCUUCCGCAAUGGGCGAAAGCCUGACGGAGCAACGCCGCGUGAGUGAUGAAGGUCUUCGGAUCGUAAAACUCUGUUAUUAGGGAAGAACAAAUGUGUAAGUAACUAUGCACGUCUUGACGGUACCUAAUCAGAAAGCCACGGCUAACUACGUG